AGGGGGAGGGGGAGGGGUGCGGCAGCGGGCGGUUGACGAGCCGCCUUACGACGUGCGCGGCGGCGGCGACCUCCGCCGGCCCAGCGGGCAGCGCGUGUCGGCGACGGAGGAGGCGCUGGAGCCGCCGGUACCGCGCAACGGCCGGCUGGGGAGGUGCGAGAUGCCGCGGCUGCGCCGGUGGUGGGUCAAGGAGGAGCUCUCCUAAGACGCCCCCUCGCCGUGGCGCGCGGCGGAGCACUGAAGGAGGAGGAGAGGUCCAAGGAGGAGCCACCCGCGUCGCCUGUGGCUGAGCCCGCUCGGGGUCCUGGGCCGCCACAGGCGGGGACCGGAGCAAGGCCAGAGUCCGAGGGGCCUAGCGCGGCUGGCGUGGAGGCGUCGAUCGCCAGGUCCGUGAAGCGGGCGGUGGCGCGAGUUGCUCGGGGAGCUUAGUCGGCUCCUUCAGCGGCGGUCGGCGGACGGACGAGAAGAUCCUGGCCCUCCAGCGUAUGACUAGCACCGGUUAGCCGAGGGGCAGUGCCGGUUCGCGGAGCUUCUGUUGGUCACCCUCAACCACUGGUCAAGCCCGCCAGAGCAGUCGCGGGACGUUCCACAAUUUCUACACCUUGCCUACAAACAGCCGACCGGACCGCAGUCGCAGUGGCUGCUCCUGCCGGUUUGUAGGUAGUUCUUUCUCGAUGAAUUCUUCUCCACGCAUGGACACAAGGACUCACUCCUCAAUUCCCUGGUCAUGAUGUCGCCCAUGACGUUAUUGUAAGAUACCGGCGAGAAGGUAAUGAACCCCGAAGGUGUCCCCAUGUUCCAGUUAUUCUGUUUUCUGAAAUUCAGUGUCGAAUUCCGUAUAUGACUCCGUUUGUUCUACAAGCGCCUAUGAGACACGCUUUAGAGAUUCCUUCCCCUAUAGUAUACCACGGUACUGAUGGUAAACUACAAUGAAGGGUUCAAUAACUUCGUCAGGUUGGACUUGUACUUCCACCCGACCAAGGACGUGUGUGGCAAAGGGAGUAUACUCCAAAUGGUCCGUAACGGCUUGGCGUUUCUCGACAACGUCCGACACGAACUUCGACUGAAUCACCCCAAAGUAUGCAUGCUCAUACGUUCCGUGAAACACUCACGAACGUGGUCAGACGACCCAGAACUCCCAGCGGAACCUCCGUAAUUCAAAUUUCCUUCCUAACAAUUUCACCUACGAAAAGGCUAGCCCUAUCUGCGAGUCGUAAAAUUUCUUAGAAACCUAGAAUUGCGUCAGUUUCCCCUUUAUUGGCUUAAGUUUAGUCAAAAACGACCAGGUUUCCAUUACGAACCACAACUAGCCAAUCUGUACUAAUUUCCUGAAGACGUUUUCAAUAACCGGAAACUCUUUAAAGAACUCCUCUUGUUCCCAACCCUUAGGUUUCACCAGGAACACGUUUAACGACACGGUUGAUCUUCACUGCAUGGACUUAUAGUUCUCGACUUUUCAGUUCACGUACUUUACCAACCUGCACAUUUACCUUUUAAACCUUGCAAAUUUUGCAUGGGAUAAUAUAUAGACUACACCGAGACUAUUGUAGUGACUCUCUACCUUACUUAGAACAUUCGAUACUUAUACAACGGACAGUUCUUAGUUUAUUUCCACAAGACUAUGACUCACUCAAACGUACCCGUCGCGUUAGAGAACCCCGACCACGAUAACAUCAUUUGGGUACCUUAUGACGCCUUCAUCGUCCCCGUUAUUUUGUACGAAACCUAUACAAUGGACUACUUUCCCUCGCUGCAGUGUUCGUAUUAAUAUUUUAACACAGUCGUGUGUGACGUGUUCUCACCCGUUUUUUGAUACAGACCGUCGAUUUACUACGUCGUUAAUUUCGAGGCAAUCCUUGUCCUCUUUCAGAAGAACCUGAGGGAUAACUUCUUCGUCGACUUGUUAUGCGUGUUAGGUUUUCAGCCAAUGAGUAUAACCCAAAAUUACGCUGUAACUGACUUGUCCAGGUUAGAAGACUCUCUUCCCGAUGACUGGUUUGGCCCUUGUGCUGUGAGUUCAACUUGAGACCCAACUUCCCUCGGGACUUUUGGGAAACACUAUUACUCGUAUGUUGACAGUAACAACAGUCACCAAUACCGUUUCUACAAGAGGUACUUUUAAAACCUCUUAAAUUUUACACCAACCGCCGUCUCUUACCCUACAAAGAUGCUGAUUUACCACUUCUUACCAAGUGGUGUAGUAGACCUGUUGACCUUUAACCGAAGGCACUAUCGCAUUUCUUUCAAUACCUUAUGAAGUGAUUUUCUUGGGGCCUCAGAAUAACACUUGGUGCACUUUGUAGUUAACACACCUUGAUACUUAUACGUCUCCUAGUAAAACCUUGUUUAGUCCGUUUACUAUACGAUGUCGUGAACCCCCGUAUAAGUAACAGUUUAGUUUCACGACUCCAACAAGUUCCGUCGGCCAGUUAACUUCACGCGGGACACCCUCAGUGGUUCCCAUUACGGUAGCUAUUUUAAUACGUUCUCAAUCCAGUGUCCUUUUAGUAUUGGUGAGGUUAACUAAUACAGAACACGUAACCGGUGAAGGAACGCUUCCUACUUCUGCAGAUAUGGAAUGGGGUUAAACUACAACUUGGACUUAGCCUUUCUUUUCGUUUCCACACCGUUCGUCUAUAGUACUUGUAGUUCAAAUUGGACUUUGCACUGUUCAUGAAGAGCACGUGACAACCCUCCCUUACAAGAGAUCGUGCCAUGUUCGAGCUCCCUCGAUCACUUCAGCGGAGGAAUGACGUGUUAGAACGUAGACGACUGGCUCCUCUUGCACUGCUGAGAGCAGGGUGCUUCUCUGUUUUUCUUCUAGUACUAAGUCCUCGAUACUCGCUCAUCACUAAAACGGAAAAAGAGUAAGUAACUGAGGUUUCCCAUGUUUAUGAUCUUUUUUCCCAAGAAGUGAAACCAUGUCUAUGAUCUUCCUUGAGAUCCGGUUCGUCUUUUUUCCCAUGUAUAUGAUCUUCUUUAACAAAAAAACCUAGAUUCUUGGUUUUCCUCCAAUCUCUUAAGAAGUGAAACCACCGACUAGACGUUGGCGUGUUCAAAACUAGCUACGUACAUAUCUUGCACUACGACAUUUUCGCUCUGUACUACAGUGGUUUCAUGCUAAGAAAACAUCAACUAAAAUAAGUUAACUUUUAGCAGAAACAAAGAAAUACGAACCAAUCGACAGGUGAACACAACAAUACAAGGAUAAAAGGAACCUUUACUUCAUUUUUCGUGC
rnacentral:rRNA from 1 species